rnacentral:lncRNA from 1 species
CCACGCAAGUGGUAGCUCAGUUGGUACAAGCCUUAAAUUUCAUGCCUCACAUCCACGGUUCAAGCCUAUAUGGAGUCGAUUAAAUGAAAGGAUUUUUCCUGGAUGCCUAGGGUAUGGGAUGGUGAUUGGACCCUCUGAUGCUUGGGGGGUGCUGGGAUAACGUACUCACCCAAAGUGGUGGCCAUAGGCCUCAUAUGUGGGGGU